UUCCGGUUGAUCCUGCCGGCGGGCACCGCUAUCGGUAUGCGAUUAAGGCAUGCGAGUCGAGAGGUGCAAGACCUCGGCUGACGGCUGAGUAACACGCGGAUAAUCUGCCCUGGAGUGGGGGAUAAUCUCGGGAAACUGAGGAUAAUACCCCAUAGAUGUGGUAUGCUGGAAUGCUUCCACGUUCAAAGCCCCGGCGCUCCAGGAUGAGUCUGCGGCCUAUCAGGCUGUAGUGGGUGUAACGGACCCACUAACCUACGACGGGUAGGGGCGUUGAGAGACGGAGCCCCCAGAUGGAUUCUGAGACACGAAUCCAGGCCCUACGGGGCGCAGCAGCUACGAAAACUGCACAAUGUGGGGAACCACGAUGCGGGCAUACCGAGUGCUAACGCUUUGCGUUGGCUGUUCUU
rnacentral:rRNA from 1 species